CCUGUGUGACUGAGGCUCCAGGUCCUGUGUGACUGAGGCUCCUGGUCCUGUGUGAUUGAGGCUCCAGGUCCUGUGUGACUGAGGCUCCUGGUUCUGUGUGACUGAGGCUCCUGGUCCUGUGUGACUGAGGCUCCUGGUUCUGUGUGACUGAGGCUCCUGGUCCUGUGUGACUGAGGCUCCUGGUUCUGUGUGACUGAGGCUCCUGGUCCUGUGUGACUGAGGCUCCAGGUCCUGUGUGACUGAGGCUCCAGGUCCUGUGUGACUGAGGCUCCAGGUCCUGUGUGACUGAGGCUCCAGGUCCUGUGUGACUGAGGCUCCAGGUCCUGUGUGACUGAGGCUCCAGGUCCUGUGUGACUGAGGCUCCAGGUCCUGUGUGACUGAGGCUCCUGGUUCUGUGUGACUGAGGCUCCAGGUCCUGUGUGACUGAGGCUCCUGAUCCCUGGUCCUCUCACAUUUGAGGCCUUCCAUUUUGUUUUCUCUUUUUUGUUUGGAGUUUGGUUUUGGUUUUUUAAAAAGAGUCUUAAUUGUAUAGGCCUGCCUGGAGACUUGAAACAAACUAUAUAGACCAGGCUGGUCUGGAA